UGUGGUCAAGUUUCUAAGAGCAAACGGUGGAUGCCUUGGCAUCUGGAGCCGAAGAAGGACGUAGAAAUCUGCGAUAAGCCUCGGGGAGCUGAUAAUCGAGCUUCGAUCCGAGGAUUUCCGAAUGGGGAAACCCCGCCAGGCGACUUGUCGACCUGGUGACUCCCGCCUGAAUAUAUAGGGCGGGUAGAGGGAACGUGGGGAAGUGAAACAUCUCAGUACCCACAGGAAGAGAAAACAACAUGUGAUUCCGUGAGUAGUGGCGAGCGAAAACGGAUGAGGCUAAACCGAUCAUGUGUGAUAGCCGGCGGGCGUUGCAUGGUCGGGGUUGUGGGACACGUCGCUCAGUUCUGCCGGACUGGGACGGUUACAGCGCAUCAUAGUCGAACCGGUUUGAAAGCCGGGCCGUAGUGGGUGCCAGCCCCGUAGACGAAAUGGUGUUAUGGCCGGAUGUGUAUCCCAAGUAGCACGGGGCCCGAGAAAUCCCGUGUGAAUCUGUCAGGACCACCUGAUAAGCCUAAAUACUCCCAGAUGACCGAUAGCGGACAAGUACCGUGAGGGAAAGGUGAAAAGUACCCCGGGAGGGGAGUGAAAUAGUACCUGAAACCGUUUGCUUACAAACCGUCGGAGCCUCCUUUGUAGGGGUGACGGCGUGCCUUUUGAAGAAUGAGCCUGCGAGUUAGCGAUAUGUGGCGAGGUUAACCCGUGUGGGGUAGCCGUAGCGAAAGCGAGUCUGAAUAGGGCGAUUCAGUCGCAUGUCCUAGACCCGAAGCGAAGUGAUCUAUCCAUGGCCAGGUUGAAGCGACGGUAAGACGUCGUGGAGGACCGAACCCACUUCAGUUGAAAAUGGAGGGGAUGAGCUGUGGAUAGGGGUGAAAGGCCAAUCAAACUUCGUGAUAGCUGGUUCUCUCCGAAAUGCAUUUAGGUGCAGCGUUGCGUGUUUCUCGCCGGAGGUAGAGCUACUGGAUGGCCGAUGGGCCUCAACAGGUUACUGACGUCAGCCAAACUCCGAAUGCCGGUGAGUGAGAGCGCAGCAGUGAGACGGUGGGGGAUAAGCUUCAUCGUCGAGAGGGAAACAACCCAGACUACCAACUAAGGCCCCUAAGCGUGUGCUAAGUGGGAAAGGAUGUGGAGUUGCACAGACAACCAGGAGGUUGGCUUAGAAGCAGCCACCCUUGAAAGAGUGCGUAAUAGCUCACUGGUCAAGUGAUUCCGCGCCGACAAUGUAACGGGGCUCAAGCACACCGCCGAAGUUGUAGAUUUCGCACAUAGACAAGCCUUCGUGGUUCAGUCGUGCGGAGUGGUAGGAGAGCGUCGUGUGGCGAGUGAAGCGGCGGAGUGAUCCAGCCGUGGACGCCACACGAGUGAGAAUGCAGGCAUGAGUAGCGAAAGACGGGUGAGAAACCCGUCCUCCGAAAGACCAAGGGUUCCAGGGCCAGGUUAAUCCGCCCUGGGUAAGUCGGGACCUAAGGCGAGGCCGACAGGCGUAGUCGAUGGACAACGGGUUGAUAUUCCCGUACCGGCGAACAACCGCCCAAGCUAAUCCAGUGGUGCUAAGAGUCCUAACCCGGCACUUGUUGAUCCCUUCGGGGUGAGACGGGCCGGUCUAACGCU
rnacentral:rRNA from 1 species